UGGGGAAUAUUGGACAAUGGGGGCAACCCUGAUCCAGCAAUGCCGCGUGAGUGAUGAAGGCCUUCGGGUUGUAAAGCUCUUUUGGCGGGGACGAUGAUGACGGUACCCGCAGAAUAAGCCCCGGCUAACUUCGUGCCAGCAGCCGCGGUAAUACGAAGGGGGCUAGCGUUGUUCGGAAUUACUGGGCGUAAAGGGCGCGUAGGCGGCCUUGUUAGUCGAGUGUGAAAGCCCUGGGCUUAACCCGGGAAGCGCGCUUGAUACUGCAGGGCUUGAGUGUGGGAGAGGAUGAUGGAAUUCCCAGUGUAGAGGUGAAAUUCGUAGAUAUUCGGAAGAACACCAGUGGCGAAGGCGACAUACUGGUCCGUUACUGACGCUGAGGCUCGAAAGCGUGGGGAGCAAA
rnacentral:rRNA from 1 species